rnacentral:lncRNA from 1 species
GCUCAGUCUCUGUACUCUCACUGCAAGCCUGAGAGGAAUGCAUUGAGAGGAUGGCAUGAGGAAGCACUUUUUCCUAUGUGAGGUCUUGAGAUUUUUCAUGCCAAAUGAUGUGGGAUCUGGAAAGAUGGGCGAAUAGGAAUAGCUCUGGUCUACAGCUCCCAGCAAAACCAACACAGAAGGAACUGCCAUACUUUUUUACACAGCAGCUGCACCAUUUUACAUUCCCACCAGCAAUGCACAACGGUUCUGAUUUCUCUAUGUCUUUUACUGCUGAAAGCAUCCUGAGUGACACAAACUUGAAGCAUGCAAGAGGACUAAAUAACUUCCAAAGUCACACAUAUUGCAUGUCAAGAGCCAGCUUCAAACUCAAGUCCCUGUGACCAGAGGUCGAUGCUCUAAACACAUUUCUGCAUGACCUGCUUGUGGCAGCCUGGAGAAAUUCUACAUAAAUCUUCUCAGAUUCCAGAGGCUGCGAGGUCUGAGAUCAAGGAUCUGACACCUGGUGAGGGCCUUUUUGCUGCAUCAUUUCACAUAGAGACAAAAAGAUUCUCACCUGUAAGCUUGAAUUAUGUCUACAUCAUGCUUGGGAAAUGUCCAUAUAUUCUAAGCUUGAAACUGCAGUGAUGAGGACGUCACCACUUCCAGAGAGAACACUUUACUACCAGGCAACUUGAGUACAAUAGGCAGCCACAAAUAUCAUCCUUGCUAGCCAGGAAUGACAAGGAGCAAGCCACAUGAGGAGUCAGAAAAGAUUAUUCCAGGCAGGGCUGAGAUCUGCAUUAUGGUCUGGAGGCUGCCCCAGUCUCUCCUUUACCUCCAUAUUUUUCUCACAGAGAAAGGGUCUCACUGUUCUGCUCAGGCUGGACUAGAACUCCUGGGUUCAAGUGAUGUUCCUGCUGCAGCUUCUUCAGUAGCUGUGACUACAGACGAACCACAUUGGUCUCUGAAAGGAGAAUGGACCUGGAGAACAAGACAGGAAGACAAUAUCAGGUAGGAGGCUCUGGGAUCAGUUAAGACAACUGGCCAUGAAGACUUCAAUGAAGGGGGCAGUAGUGGGAAGGAAUUGUAUUUAAGGAACAUUUACUUGAUGUACAGUCUGCAUAACUUUCGUUUGACUAAAUUUGAAGCAUGAGAGUAAAAGAGGAAGAAAUGUGGAUAUAUUUGUAAAAAUGAUACUGGAUUGUAUAAUAAAUAAAUUAUAAAUUUCCAUGGCUUGAUAAAAUAGAGCUUUAUUUCUCAGAGACUUUCCAGAACAGAUGUUCCUGACAGAUGACUGUCUUUCUUCCAUGUGGUGACUUAGGGAACCCAAAUGUAUCACCCUGUGACUCUGUCAUGCCCUCAUGCCUUGGAAUUCUUUUCAUACAACUAGUAGAGAGGGAAAUAGAGUACCAGGAAGAAGAGAUACUUCCUCGAAGCUCCAGACUGACAAUUACAUAUAUAACUUCCACUUAUAUUGCACUGUCUAUUAGUCACAUGGCUAGGUCUGAAUAUAGUACUCCCCACCUAUGUAUGAGGGGCAUGUUCCAAGACCCCCAGUGAACUCCUGAAACCUCAAUAGCACCAAACCCUGCAUAUACUAUGUUUUUUCAAUCUGAUAAUUGAGAUAUCUACUAAGUGACUAAUUG